GAUGAACGCUAGCGAUAGGCCUAACACAUGCAAGUCGAGGGGCAUCACAUGAAGUAGCAAUACGGAUGGUGGCGACCGGCGCACGGGUGAGUAACACGUAUGCAACCUGCCUUCAACAAGGGGAUAACCCGUUGAAAGACGGACUAAUACCCUAUAACACAGGGGUCCCGCAUGGGAAUAUUUGUUAAAGGACAACCGGUUGAAGAUGGGCAUGCGUUCCAUUAGCUAGUUGGCGGGGUAACGGCCCACCAAGGCAACGAUGGAUAGGGGAACUGAGAGGUUUAUCCCCCACACUGGUACUGAGACACGGACCAGACUCCUACGGGAGGCAGCAGUGAGGAAUAUUGGUCAAUGGACGCAAGUCUGAACCAGCCACGUCGCGUGAAGGAAGACGGCCCUACGGGUUGUAAACUUCUUUUAUACGGGAAUAAAGUGCCCCACGCGUGGGGUUUUGCAUGUACCGUAUGAAUAAGGAUCGG
rnacentral:rRNA from 1 species